UACGUAGGGAGCGAGCGUUGUCCGGAUUUAUUGGGCGUAAAGAGCUCGUAGGCGGCUUGGUAAGUCGGAUGUGAAAUCUCCAUGCUUAGCGUGGAGCGGCCAUCUGAUACUGCUAUGGCUUGAGUCCGGUAGGGGCCCACGGAAUUCCUGGUGUAGCGGUGAAAUGCGCAGAUAUCAGGAGGAACACCGGUGGCGAAGGCGGUGGGCUGGGCCGGUACUGACGCUGAGGAGCGAAAGCGUGGGGAGCGAACAGG
rnacentral:rRNA from 1 species